AUUCAAAAUAUACUAGCAGAGGAGAUCAAAUUAAGAAGAUGAAGUAAAGACAAUUAUGGAAAUCCUAAUUAAGACACAGAGACAGCAUUUGACAAAAUCCAACACCCCUUCAUGGUAAAGACAAUCAACAAACUAGAAACAGAAGGGAACUUCCUCAACCUGAAAAAAGAAAAUGAGCAAAUACUUUGAGGUCAGUGAAAUGAAGACAUGACACACCAAAAGCUAACAUCAUACCUAACGGUGAAAGACUGAAUGCUUUCCCUCUAAUUUCAGGAACAUGACAGGGAUAUGUGCUCUCCCCACAUCUGUUCAACACCAUAAGUGAAGUUCUGACCAGGGCAAAAAUUUUAAAAUUAUACAUGCCUGGACUUCCCUGGUGAAGCAAUGGUUAAGAAUCCACCUGCCAAUGCAGGGGACACGAGUUCGAGCCCUGGUCCAGGAAGAUCCCACAUGCCACGGAGCA